rnacentral:tRNA from 1 species
GGGGUUGAGGAUCAGUGACAGAACAUCUGCUUUGCAUGCAGAAGGUCCCAGGUUCAAUCUGUGGCAUCUCCA